UCGCCCAUUUCUUUGUCUCUUGUAGGAUUUUGCGGAGCCACUCGACAGAUGAGAAUCUCAUUUCGAGGCUCCUCAGAAGGCGAACUGCACCCCCUCCCUCAAGCCUCUUCUCCAGUCUCAUGGUUUUCAUGACCACUAGGGGAAGACGACGAAUUCCAAGCUGCAAAACCCAUCCAUGCCCAAUGUAAACAUUCAAACGACAGCCUGAGAUUAGCUCGUGGUGCAUGCUGAGCUGAGAGCCACCCCGUCCCACUCCUGCCCCAGAGGUAAGUGUGGGAUAGAUCUUUCUUAUGCCCCACCUUAGAAAAACAUAUUUGUAAAUAAUAGCUUAACUUACUGUAUGCCGGCUACCAUGCUACAGCUUUAUAUGCAUCAUCUAUUUGAAAUUGUAGACCCCUCUACACACACAGGUUUUUUUUUUUUUUUUUAAUAAGACUUUAUUAAGCAUAUAGUUCUGCGGCUUGCUUCCUUACUGAAUGUGUUUACGUCUUUCUGCCAGUGUCUGUUUCUCCACUGAAUUCUUUUUUACUGGGUACAUAGUA
rnacentral:lncRNA from 1 species